GUCCACAGCCAUGCCAUCCUGAACAAGCCUGAUCCCGUCUGCUCUUGGAAGCUAAGCAGGGUCGGGCCUGCUUAGUACUUGGAUGGGAGACCACCUAGGAAGACCAGGUGCUGUAGGUG
rnacentral:rRNA from 1 species